rnacentral:rRNA from 1 species
AAAGGAAUUGACGGGGGCCCGCACAAGCGGUGGAGCAUGUGGUUUAAUUCGACGCAACGCGAAGAACCUUACCAGGGCUUGACAUCCCCUGCUAUCCAUAGAGAUAUGGAGUUAUGCUUUCGAGCAUACAGGGAGACAGGUGGUGCAUGGUUGUCGUCAGCUCGUGUCGUGAGAUGUUGGGUUAAGUCCCGCAACGAGCGCAACCCCUACCGUUAGUUGCCAUCAAGUAAAGUUGGGCACUCUAGCGGAACUGCCGUUGAGAAAACGGAGGAAGGUGGGGAUGACGUCAAAUCAUCAUGCCCCUUAUGUCCUGGGCUACACACGUGCUACAAUGGUCUGUACAGAGGGAAGCGAAGUCGUGAGGCGGAGCAAAUCCCAGAAAGCAGAUCUCAGUUCGGAUUGCAGGCUGCAACUCGCCUGCAUGAAGUCGGAAUCGCUAGUAAUCGCAGGUCAGCAUACUGCGGUGAAUACGUUCCCGGGCCUUGUACACACCGCCCGU